UUUUCCUGAGUCCUUGUCACUAUAAAUUGAUCUCAUUAGACCUCUAAAGCAAAACAGAAUCAUGUCUGGCCAGUAAUUGGAUCGGAGACCUCCCAGGAAAACAAGUUCUGGAGGAA
rnacentral:rRNA from 1 species